rnacentral:rRNA from 1 species
UUUUAAUUUAUAAUUUAUUAAUUAAAAAGUGGUGUACAGGUGAGUAUAAUAAUAUUUUAUGCCGACCUUAAAGUGAAGGUAAAUCCUUCAUAUAAAAAGGGAUUACUUAAUCCCGCUUUAAGAGGAUGAUAAAUAUUUUCGAGGUAGGUAGUAGUGAAGGUUAUGUCUUGACUAGCCUUAAUUCUCGUAGUCGAAACUGAAAGGUUAAUCGACCACAUUGGGUCUGAAAAAAUCCCAAUGCAAGUUAGUACAGCAGUGAGGAAUAUUGGUCAAUGGCCUAACGGCUGAACUGGCAACUUGGAGAAGUGAUAAGUCUUAGAUUGUUAUUAUUAAUAAUAACUAUAAGAUUAAAUUAGUAUUGAAUAAAACUUUGUCUAUAUAUUGAUAAUGACGAUAUAUAUAUUAUGUCUUGACUAAUUACGUGCCAGCAGUCGCGGUAAUACGUAAGAGACUAGUGUUAUUCAUCUUAAUUAGGUUUAAAGGGUACCCAAAUGGUCAAUAAAACUGACUAGAGUUAUAUGGAAGAAGGCAGUACCUUAAGUGUAGAGAUUAAAUGCUGUCAUACUAGAGGGACUCUGAAAAGGCGUAGGCAGCCUUCUAAGUAAUAACUGACGUUGAAGGACGAAAGCAUAGAUCACGAACAGGAUUAGAUACCCAAGUAGUCUUUGCAGUCAAUGAUGAAUGCCAUAGGUUAGAAAAAAUUUUAGUCUAUAAAUGAAAGUGUAAGCAUUUCACCUCAAGAGUAAAGUGGCAACGCAGGAACUGAAAUCACUAGACCGUUUCUGACACCAGUAGUGAAGUAUGUGUGCGACAAGAAGCGGGUAUUAGUAAUACGGUGUGAUUCCGUUUGGUAUUUUCUCUACCUAACACUAUUUACACAUGCAAAUCAGUAAUGAUUUGUGUGAAGCUGUAAAGACAAUGUAGCCUCUCUUAAAUGAGAAUGUUAAUAUAAAUUAUAUUACCAGGAGCUAGUGUAAAUAAGAUAUGGAAAGCGAAAGCGAAAUUAGCAAUGACGCUUCAAUAAUACAACACAGAAGGAAGGUAAUAGAUUCGACAUACUAAUCUAUUAGAGAAACCAUAUUUCCGUUGAAGUAAAGCUAAUUUCCUAAGUCUUAUGUAAAUUGUGCUAAUAUCUGAACUUGGUAACCCCUUUAUCUUCAGUAAUGUAUUUAUAUAUUAAAGAGGUAACAUAUAAAGCUUAAAAGGCAGAAAUUGUUAUAUCAGAUAAAGGGAAGAGGAUUUGUUAAAAAGCAAAUGCUUUAUUUAGGUUUCAAUUGAAGUAAAUCUGAAUAAUAGAUAAAGAUAUAUGUAUUGUAUUAUGAAAAGGAGUAAAUAGUAUUUAGUCCUUAUAUUUAGUUUUUUAAAGAUAUAUACAUUCAACUCAUUAAUAAUAAUAAUGAAAAAAUUCAAAUUAUUUAAUUCAUCAGUAUUAGAAAAUAAUUCGUUAUGUUGAUUUGUAAGUGGUUUAGUAGACGCUGAAGGAAGCUUUGGCGUAAAUCUUGUAAAAAAAGAAUCUAAACUAGGUUAUGCAGUUUUAACUUAUUUUGAAAUAGGUUUAAAUAAAAAAGAUGAACAACUACUAGAAACAAUAAAUAAAGUAUUAGGUACUAAUAAAAUUUUAUAUUAUAAUAAAAGUGAUGAUACAUUAAAGUUAAAGAUAUCUAAUAUAGAUGAAUUAAUUAAUAAUGUAAUACCACAUUUCAAAAAAUAUCCUUUGUUUACUCAAAAGAGAGUAGAUUUUGAAUUAAUGUCUAAAGUAUUAGAGAUAAUACAAAGCAAACGACAUUUAACUGAAGAAGGUUUAAAUGAAAUAGUGAGCAUAAAGGCUGGAAUGAAUUUAGGGUUAUCUGAUAAAUUGAAAAAUGAAUUUUCAACGAUAAAACCCUUAACUAGGUUAACUAUUAAUACAGGUAUACCUAAUAAAGAUUGAUUAGCUGGAUUUAUGGAAGGUGAAUCAUGUUUUUAUGUGAGUAUAUAUAAUUCACCUAAAUCUAAAUUAAAUUAUGCUGUACAAUUAGUGUUUAAAAUAACUCAACAUUUUAGAGAUAAAGUCUUAUUAGAAAACAUCUCUAUAUUAUUAGAAUGUGGUAGAGUAGAAACAAGAAAAUCUGGAGAUGCUUGUGAUUUUACAGUUACAUCAUUCAAUAAGUUUAAAAAAAAUAUGAUACCUUAUUGAGAGAAUUAUCCCUUAAUAGGUCAUAAAUCAAAGGAUUACUUUGAUUUUAAAAGAGUUUAUGAAAUAAUGUUAGCUAAGGGUCAUUUAACUAAAGAAGGGCUGGCUAAUAUAAUUGAAAUAAAAAACUCUAUGAAUACCAAAAGAGUAUAAUUAAAUAUGUUUUAAUUAACAUAUUAUAAAAUAUUUAUAUGCAUACUUCUAUGCAACAAUACAAUACAAUACAUAUAUUUAUUAAGAUAUAAAAAUCUUAAUAUAGCUGACUUAACAAGGGUGAAAUUUGACAUAAUAAAGAUAGUUUGUGUGUUAGGUUAUAUCUAAUAUUAUGUUUGGGGCGAUGGCUCCUGUAGAAAAAUUUUGCUUGAGCCGUAUGCGAUGAAAGUUGCACGUACGGUUCUUUAAGGGGGAAAGUUUGAGAGGACCUACCUAUCUUAACUGUUUAAUUCGAUAAUCCACGAAAAACCUUACCACAAUUUGUAUAUUUAUACAGGAGUUGCACGGCUGUCUGCAGUUGAUGUUGUGAAACUAUGGUUUCCAUGAAUUAACACAAUUCCUUGCUUUAUUUUUGUUUGUUUUUACGAUAAAGCAUUUGACCUGAGAAUAUGGGAAGAAAAAAGGGAGUAAGACAAGUCAUCAUGGCCUUAAUAUUGUGGGCUAUAGACGUGCCACAUAAGCCUAAACAAAGAGAUGCAAAAAUGUGAAUUCUAGCAAAUCUCCAAAAUAGGAAAUAAAAAGGAUUGUAGUCUGAAAUUCGACUAUAUGAAUACGUAAUUACUAGUAAUCGUGAAUCACCAUGUCACGGUGAAUAUAUCUCGGAUUGGUACUAAUCACUCGUCGCAUGCUGAAAGGAGUUUAUACAAUAAGUUUGCUCUUUUAUAAUAAGUAAAAGAAAUAAAUAGAUUUUAUAUAUCUUAUUAUAGAAUUCUUCGUAUGUAUAGCUCUAAUUAGUGUU